rnacentral:lncRNA from 1 species
ACAUUUUGCUCUCUUUAGGAAAAGACAACAUUGAUUUUAGAGGUUUUUGUUAUGGAGGCCAGGGGGAUUUUUCCAGUGCAGCACAGAGAAAUCUGGGUUUGGAUUGGGAAGCCAGACAUUUCUUGGCUUACAUUUCCUACUUGAAUGGGAUUCGUUUGCCCCCUCCUCACCUCUCCCCAACCCCCAGGCAGCUAGAAGCCCCACCUCCUUGCUUGGACCAUAUGGGGAAGCUGGCUCGGUGGCUGUUAUUCUACUGACUCCAAGUUCACGCAGCUGUUCAUCCCCUGCUUAAUGUACUGGGUUCAACAGAUGGCUAAGGUUGAUGUUUCUGCUCGAGAGUCAUCUUCAUGGAUUUGCAGAAGACCCCACUCCUGAAAUCCCUUUCACCUGGGCCGAUGCAUCUAAUUAUGAUGGUAGAUUGAAAGCUUUUCAGCUCCCAGGGACACAGCAUUCAUUUCCAUCUUCUCCUGUGGGGAUCCCUGGCCCAUCUAGUUGGAUUUCUUAGAAGGACUUAAGGGCUCUACAUUGGUUCUCUCUCCCACAUAAAACAAGGAAGGGAGCAUAUUUGCUCCUUUAUUCCAGCACUCUGAAGUGCAGGCAGGCCCUCCCCAAGGCAGUGACCCCUACCCCUCUACCUGAAGCCACUAUGCCUUUGGCAGUCAUGAGUCAAGCUGAGCCCAUAUUUCCCACACAUUCCAUGGCCCUCUGAAUCAUUACGUAGUCACUCCUCACUAGACUUGGGAUGGAAUGGGGUACCACUACCUGUGGAAGAAGAAUGACACCAUGGCCAGUAACAGCUCUCUCCCAAGGCAUCUCUCCACUGUGCUCUCUUUCCCUCUCCUCUGUAAAUACUUUUAUAGCCUUGAAAAAAAGGAGGAGACAUAAGAAUUAUGCAAUAGUUUUUUUUUAACCUUUGUAAAAUCUGUUUAUAGUAAACUCUCUCAUACACAUCUUGUUAUCUGAUGUUAAUUAUUGGAACCUCAUUCAAAGCUAUGUUAGAAAGAGCCCCAUUUAAGCUUCUCUUAAAUUUAUAAAAGAAAAUUGUUCAUAAAUUAAAUUAUAAGGAAAAGAAAGUUGAUUUUCUAUAUUCUUCCAUGUUUGAUCUUUCCACAUGGUCAUGGAAACCACCUCACGCCUCUUAAUUUUUUAGUUCUUUUGACAGAAAACACAGAAACUAUGGUUCCCAACACCAUAGGGCAGUACUACCACAGUCUCCACCACCUCAAGCAAUAGACUUUCCAACCUCUUCUCUCCAUUAAACUUCUCUAUUACCAGACUCUUACUAAAUUAUCUUACUAAAGAUAGUUUUUGAAUGUCUCUCUUGUGCUAAGAAUUGUAGAGUUCUGGUGGCAGAAGAUGACAGAGAGUUUUUUUUCUUUUUGUCCUAGAAGAAUUUAUAGUUUAUUCUAGUUCUUUCCAUUGGAAUCUGAAACAAUAUACAAAAACAGUGCAAUAGUUUUUUUCAAUACAUUUUGAUCAAUGUGGAAAUACAUUUUUGUAACAGUUGAGGAUUCAUACUGUAUAUUAUAACGUUGGUCAGAAUAACUGAGUCUGAUGAUUGAGUUGGGAGACGCAUGGUGGGGCACGGAAGAAUGUGCCCCUUUAGGUCAGAGGUAAGCUGGUGCCACCAAAAGGAACUUUGUUUAUCACAAUCCACUAGAACUUUUAAUUUCUUUGUGUUUGUAUUUUCUUUCAUAGGACAAGGUCAGGGAAAUAAGCAUUUCUACUCAAACUCCCAAAUAGUACUGAAAGAAUACCAAAUGAAUAGGACUAUAAUGGUAUAUUUUAAACAUUUUUUUCAAAAGAAUUGGCAUUUACCUUUUAACUCCUUCAAUGUCACCCUAAGCUCUAGUGCUAGUAACUCAGAAAAUUUAACAACCACUGAUCCAUUCACUAUUAAAGAAAAUGUUAUAAACUCAUUUGGACUGAGGUGUUAAUUGUUAUUUUUAAGGUUAAUGGUUAUUAGUUGUUCUUGAUCUUCUAGGAUAACAUUUGCAUUUUAGGCUUUAAAAAAAAUCCCAAAUGUCCUUAAACCUGAAGGACUUGGUUAGAUAAAUAUUUUGGGGAAUGAUGGCAAAGCCUGCUGUGGCAAUUUUUUGAUAGGGUGAAUACCAGUACUGGCUGAUCCUCCCACUCAAGAAACACACUUAAAUCCAGUGUUGGCUUUGGGAAUGCUGAGAAAACAUUGGCUUUGGGAAUAGAGAAAGAAAACAUCAGUAGAAAAAUGAAAAACAGAAGUGAUUUGAAGGACAGCUUUAGGCUUCACCAUAUUCUGUACCCAUUAAAUAACUCCCCAUUUUUCCCUACUCCCAGUCCCUGACAACCACCAUUUUAAUUUCUAUUUUUAUGAAUUUGACUAAUCUAGAUAACUUCAUGUAAUUAAAAUCAUACAACUUUUACCUUUUUGUGAUUGUCUUAUUUUAUUUAGCAUAAUGUCAUUAAGAUAUAUCCAUGUUUAACCCAUGCCAGAAUUUUCUUCCUUUUUAAGGCUGAAUAGUAUUUCGUUAUGUGUAUACACCACAUUUUGUUUAUUCAUUCAGCUAUGGAUAGAAACUUGGGUUGCUUUUAUUUUUCGCUAUUGUAGACAGUGCUGCCGUGAGCAUGGGUAUGCAAAUAUCUCUUCAGGAUCCUGCUUUCAAUUCUUCUGGAUAAAUAUAAAGAAGUGAGAUUGCUGGAUCACAUGACAAUUCUACUUUUUAUUUUUUGAGGAACUUCCAUACUGUUUUUCACAGUGUCUGCACAAUUUUACAUUCCCACCAACAGUGUACAAAGGUGUCAAUUUCUCUGCAUCCUCACCAGCACUGGUUAUUUUCUGGGUUUUUUUUUUUUUCUUUUUGAUAGUUGCCAUUUUCAUGGGUGGGAGUGAUAUCUCAUUGUGGUUUAGAUUUGCAUUUCUCUAAUGAUUAAUGAUGUUGAGUAUCUUUUCAUAUGUUUGUUGAUCAUUUGCAUAUCCUCUUUGGAGAAAUGUUUAUUCUUUUGCCCAUUUUAAAAUCAAGUUUCAAUGCUUCCUGCUAUUUAUUUUAAAUGUGCUUUACAAGUUAGAACUUGUGAAUUUUGACCAGCAUGAUGUAAUGCCACUCAGCAUGGCUUUUCAGGCUGGUGUCGGGCUGGUAGAAGGAUGAGUUAGAAUGAGCAAGGCCAAAACUCAGAGUUCAGACAGGGGCAGGGGAAGAUAGAUAGUCCAGAGAGAAUCAUUCCUUUCUUCCUUCAUGCAAACACACGUGCAAAUAGCAAGGAUUUGUUCCAUGCUGCCAUGUGCUAGGCACUGAGCUAGAGAUAUGAAAAGGGACACAAAGUGGGACAGGAUACCUUUGGGGUUUGGAAGGUAGAAUCUGCACUUAGACUGCUUGGGUGUGAAUUUUAGCUGCAGUAUCUGCAGCGUGUGGACAUAUUUUGACUGGGUUACAUCAUAAAGAGCUUUUAUCUCAUGCUAAGGGCUUACUUGUAAAGCUGUAAGACUGGGACCCAUUGAAGGGUUUUAGGUAUUACAAGCUUCAAAGAAAAACAAAUGAAAUAAUCUAAACUUUUAAGGAAACUAUCAUAGAAAGACAGAUUUAGAAAACAGAAAGGGGAAUAAAAUCCCCCUAAAAGCAAGGGCUGUAAUGGACACAAUUAAAUGCUAGGGUCUUGGUUCUAUAGUUCUAUAGUUGACUAGUUAUAUGACCUGACAAAGUCAUUUUAACUCUCUGGCCCAAGGUUUUCUUAUAUAUAAAACAGGGAUAAUGCCUUACAAAACUUAAAAAAAAUAAUUAACUAAGAAGAUGUACUCAAAAGUGUAUUGCAAGGGUUUCUUUUUUAAUUUUUCUUUCUUUUUUUUUUUUUUUUUUUUUUGGCACACAGGAGCAGUAUGCUGUGUUUUAAAGGACAUUUUAAAAAUUGGCUUGGUUUCCUCUACUCACACCAUUUUAGCCCCCGCAUUUGGGGCUAUUUCACCCUCAUUUGCAAGCUUAGACCCGAGCCAGGGUCUGAGAUUCAUCAGGCUCCAACCCAUGCCAGUUUAGUUUUUUUCUGAUGUUUUUCUUUUUUUUCCCCCCAGAAAUUUGGCUAUUAUACUUUAAAAAAAAAAAAAAAUCUUGCUUAGACUGUUUGCUCCCCUAUUUUCUUCUUCCCUUUCCCCUCAGCAUCAUGUAUUGGAAAAAAGGUGAAAGUCUGGAUUAAUGAAUCCAAAAAUUAAUGUUACCUUGUAUUUUUACCUGUAUUGUUACUUGUAUUUUUCUAAGGCACCAUAAUCACACUACAAAGAGGUGAAGACACACAACACUACAGUGAAGGAUAGAAUGCUAGUUCCAGUUUGAUUUUCAUUAUUUUUCAAGAUUUUCUUUGGCGCUGAGUAUUCUGUUGAAAAUUUUUUUACACUGAAAUAUCAGGAGAUAGAGUUUUAGGAGAAUACACAACCAGGUGUAUGCCCUGGACAGUCUAUCUCAGAAACACAAAUGUUUUGUUCUUUCCAGAAGGGAAAGAAGAGAGCAGCAACUGGCCACCUGGCACUCCUGCAACUCCUCUCUGAUCAGGAAGGAAACUGCCUGGGCUCCUGUGGAAAAUUAGCUUAUUCUCAUGGCUUUGGAAUAUGUUUCUCCAUUCAUUAAGAAUAUCUUUCUAUCAGAAUGGGCUAGGGGAGAAGCAAGAGAGAAAUUUACUUUUUGAUCUAGAGAUCAAAAACUGAAAAGCCUUUGUUUGUUUGUUUGUUUUUAUAAGAAAGAAUAGCAGAACAGAAUUAGAAUGUAGAUUUGAAGAAACAUAAGGAAAAAUAAAUCCAUGAUUAUGUGAAUUGAUUAAUGUAUUGUGUGUUUCUUUGACUAUUUUAAUUAUUAAUAUAUAAAUAUAAAUCAGGCUGCGGAAGACUAGGAGGAAGAUUAUGUGCUUCCUGAUCAAAUUAUAGCCCCAGCACAUGGCACAGUGGCUAUAGUAGAUAUUCAAUAAACACUUGUUAAAUGAAAGAAGGUAAGGAGAAGGAAGAAAGGAAUGAAAUACAUAGGGAAGGCGAAAAGGAGGGAGUGAUCAAAGAAGGCAAGAAGGAACAUAUACAACUGACGUGUGAUUUCUCUGUUGAAACUGACAAGGGUACAAUUGCAUUAUUUACCUUGUUCAAUAAAAUAAAUCUGAAGAUUUUCACAAACAAUGUUGUGGAGUGAGCAUUCCAUAUUCUUAUCUAUAAUAAACAACAGGGAUGAAGUGAACAUUUGAGGGAGAACCUUGGUAAUGAAUUAUUAGAUAAAUUAUUUCAUGCAGUUUCCAUUCACUUUUCAAAAACAAAGAGAUUGGAUUAGAAUCAUCCAUUCACAUUGACAUUCAUCAAUAAAGUUAUAGAUGACUCAGCAAUUAUCUAACCCAAAGCCUUAAUUGAAGAUGCAGCUGUCUGGAAAUAUUCUCCCCCGCUACUUCCAAAAUACCUCCUUUAAAUUUGAAUUGUGGAAUGUUUCUUUAUUGGAAAAAUAAGAGCUAACAUUUAUUCAGUGUUGACAAUGUGGUGUGAACACCUAUUCUAAUCACAUAGACACACACACAUAAAAUCCUUUAAUUUUCACUAGAACUCAAGAUAUGAUAGAUAUUAUCAUAGAGCCCAGUUUUACAGAUGAAGAAACUGAAGAAUGGAGAGGUUAAGUAACCUGCUUAGUAGAAGCAGAAUUCAAGUUCAGACCAACUGACUCCAGAGGCUGUGCUUAUAUCUACUGUGUCUCAUUGUACUUUCUGCUUAUAUUUUAAGUCUUUAUGUGCAUGGUUUGUUUUUGCUUCUAGUACAGUGGUUCUCAACUAGGGGAUUGUUAGCAAAUCUGGAGAUAUUUUUGAGGUGCAAGAAAUGUGGUGGAACAUUCUAGAAUGCACAGGACAGUGUACCACAACAAAGAAUUAUCUAGCCAGAGGUUGAGAAACCUUGUUGCAGAGUAUUAGACACUAAAGGACAAGAAUUAUGCCUUACUUACAUUUGUAUAGCAUUUGGAACAGAGUUGGCUGAAAAUUAAUAUUUGUCCAUGAAAAACUUAAGUUACCUAGUCUGUUAAAAGGAAGGAGUUUUACAUAAUAAUCAAUAAGGUACUACUGAACUCUAACUCAGCAAAUUAAUGUCUGUGUCCUGGAAACAUACAGUUUACCUAUUGAGGCCAAGGUACUGGUUUUUCCUGCCUCUUAACUGUAUGAUGCUAUGUUAUGAAAUUAUAUAGAUUAAAAGCAAAAGAGUAUAGGUGAGUAUCAUUAGAAAAAAAGGUAAGUAAGCAUACAAAAUAUAGUUUUUAUUUAAUGAAUAUGAGAAACAGAUGGAAAAGUGAUAUUACUCACCUUAAGAAUUUACCAGCUGCAAGGAAAGUAUAAUUUAUACAAAAUUUUGGAAUGAAUGAGUUUUAUACCUAACAUCAUUAGGC